AAUCAAGCGCGAGAAGGGCGUUUGGUGGAUGCCUUGGCAGUAAGAGGCGAUGAAAGACGUGAUACUCUGCGAUAAGUCAUGGUGAGCUGAGAAUAAGCUUUGACCCAUGAAUUUCUGAAUGGGGGAACCCACCUGACAGUUUGUUAUAAAAUGCUCUGCAUUUUAUAACUUGCUGAACCAGGUACUUAAGACCUGAAUACAUAGGGUUUUAAGAGCAAACCCGGGGAACUGAAACAUCUAAGUACCCGGAGGAAAGGAAAUCAAUUGAUACUCUGCUAGUAGCGGCGAGCGAACGCGGACCAGCCAAGCCUGAUAAGUGACUAGAACCGUUUGGGAAGACGGGCCAUAGCGGGUGAUAGCCCCGUAUAGGAAGCUUUGAAGGAUGUAUUAAGUAGGGCGGAACACGUGAAAUUCUGUCUGAAGAUCGGAGGACCACCUUCGAAGGCUAAGUACUCCUUACUGACCGAUAGCGAACCAGUACCGUGAGGGAAAGGUGAAAAGCACCCCGACAAGGGGAGUGAAACAGUACCUGAAACCGAACGCCUACAAUCAGUUGGAGGCCCCUUGAGGGCUGACAGCGUACCUUUUGUAUAAUGGGUCAUCGACUUAGUGUAUCUAGCAAGCUUAAGCCGUUAGGUGUAGGCGCAGCGAAAGCGAGUCUUAAUAGGGCGCUUGAGUUAGAUGCAUUAGACCCGAAACCGAGUGAUCUAGGCAUGACCAGGUUGAAGGUAAGGUAACACUUACUGGAGGACCGAACCCACACCUGUUGAAAAAGGUCGGGAUGAGUUGUGCCUAGGGGUGAAAGGCCAAUCAAACUCGGAGAUAGCUGGUUCUCUGCGAAAUCUAUUUAGGUAGAGCGUCAUCCGAAUACCCCGGGGGGUAGAGCACUGAAUGGGUAAUGGGGGCCCACAGCCUUACUGAUCCUAAUCAAACUCCGAAUACCCGGGAGUACUAGAUGGCAGACACACUGCGGAUGCUAACGUCCGUAGUGGAGAGGGAAACAACCCUGACCUACGACUAAGGCCCCUAAUUCAUGGCUAAGUGGGAAAGCAGGUGGGACGACCAAAACAACCAGGAGGUUGGCUUAGAAGCAGCCAUCCUUUAAAGAUAGCGUAACAGCUCACUGGUCUAAAUAAGUUGUCCUGCGGCGAAGAUGUAACGGGGCUCAAGCCAUGAGCCGAAGUCUAGGAUGCAUUUAUUGCAUGGUAGCAGAGCGUAGUGUGACAUAGCACAUAUCCUCUUCUACAUCCUUCGGGAUGUAGCGCAGGAUAAUGUGCUUUCGAUGAAGCGGGCGCGUGAGCGAUCCCGUGGAGAGAUCACUAGUGAGAAUGAUGACAUGAGUAGCGACAAAGAGUGUGAGAGACACUCUCGCCGAAAGUCCAAGGGUUCCUGCUUAAAGCUAAUCUGAGCAGGGUAAGCCGACCCCUAAGGCGAGGCCGAAAGGCGUAGUCGAUGGGAACCAGGUUAAUAUUCCUGGGCCAGAUGGAAGUGACGGAUCGAGAAGAUUGUUCACCCUUAUUGGAUUGGGUGGGCCGUUCAUCGGUUCCUGGAAAUAGCUCCAUCAUGAGAUCGUACCCUAAACCGACACAGGUGGACUGGUAGAGAAUACCAAGGCGCUUGAGAGAACGAUGUUGAAGGAACUCGGCAAAAUACCUCCGUAAGUUCGCGAGAAGGAGGCCCAGUUUCUACGCAAGUAUUGACUGGGGGCACAAACCAGGGGGUGGCGACUGUUUACUAAAAACACA
rfam:Thalassobius sp. CECT 5114 genome assembly, contig: 0002